rnacentral:rRNA from 1 species
UUUUUUAAUUGAAAACUUGUAUGAAAGGUUGAAUGAAAUAUUAACUGUUUCAUAAAAAUAAUAAUAGAAUUUUAUUUUUUAGUUAAAAAGCUAAAAUAUUUUUAUUAGACGAGAAGACCCUAUAAAGUUUUAUAUUUAUAUAAUAUUAAUUAAUUUAAGUUUUUUAUAUUUUUUUUUAUUAAAAUAUUUUAUUGGGGAGAUAAUAAAAUUUUAUUAACUUUUAUUUAAUUUUUACAUUGAUUUAUGAAUAAAUGAUCCUUUAUUAUGGAUUAUAAAUUUAAAUUACUUUAGGGAUAACAGCGUAAUUUUUUUUUUAAGUUCAAAUUUAUAAAAAAGUUUGC